CACGGGGGGAGCAAGCGUUGUUCGGAAUCACUGGGCGUAAAGGGCGUGCAGGCGGUCAGGUAAGUGGGAUGUGAAAUGCCCCGGCUCACCCGGGGACCGGCAUCUCAUACUGCUUGGCCUGAGUACGGGAGAGGAUGUGGGAAUUCCUGGUGUAGCGGUGAAAUGCGUAGAGAUCGGGAGGAACACCGGUGGCGAAGGCGGGUCUCUGGGCAUCUCCUGACGCUGAGGCGCGAAAGCGUGGGGAGCAAACGGG
rnacentral:rRNA from 1 species